GAGGGCGGGGACCGCUGCGCCUACCUGCCUUUCCCUCCAUAGGGACUUCCCAAAGGAAAGGAGGGCGUUUAGGGGCUUUCACACGCCUGAUCUUAAACACAGCGCCCUGACCCCUCCCCACCAAAAACGGCAAAAUGUCAUUUUUGGGGGCAAAUCUAAGGUUUUCCCUACAAUUGUUCAAGCUUUCACACUAAAACAUUUACCUAAAAACGGGCAGAAAUUCAGCCUUAAACCCACAAAUCUCACGAUGGUAUAGACCCUGGGCCCACUCAGGUUUCCUGAAAACUAAACAGUUCUGGAGUUAGGGGUUUGGAGAACGGGCUAUUGUUAAAGAAAAAAGUAUUUAGUGACACUUGUUAAAGCACAAAAAGAGGGCUUUAUUCAGGACCAUCGCAACAGGUAUAGGGACCACUGACUGCAAUGGAGACUUGCAGUAGGGAAAGAGAUAUUGGGCUCAACUCCUCAUACAGCAUGGGCAAGUGGAGAUUUAUAGCCAAGGAGCGGUGACAGGCCAAGAUAAUGAGGCAUCACCUGGGGGAUGGUGGAGACUGAAGAACCUGAUCAGAUAUUGAGGAUGAUCAGCUAUCAAGGAUGGGGGUUUAUUGCUAAUCUGACUUAGCAAAGUUCUUUGCUUAAACUGGAUUUUACAAAGAAAGUGUACAGAAGAGCCUAGCAGAAGAUUCAGAAACCUGACUAAAGUUGGCCAAGCAAAAAAAAAAAUCUUUGUAUCUGAAGGGAUAUGUUAUCCUCUUCAGUUGUACCACCAUCUCCACUUUAAUAAAAAAAAAUUUUCUUUCAAA
rnacentral:lncRNA from 10 species